rnacentral:rRNA from 1 species
AUUGAACGCUGGCGGCAUGCCUUACACAUGCAAGUCGAACGGCAGCACGGGGCAACCUGGCGGCGAGUGGCGAACGGGUGAGUAAUGCAUCGGAACGUACCUUUCAGUGGGGGAUAACGUAGCGAAAGUUACGCUAAUACCGCAUAUUCUGUGAGCAGGAAAGCAGGGGAUCGCAAGACCUUGCGCUGAUUGAGCGGCCGAUGUCAGAUUAGCUAGUUGGUGAGGUAAAGGCUCACCAAGGCGACGAUCUGUAGCGGGGCUGAGAGGAUGAUCCGCCACACUGGAACUGAGACACGGUCCAGACUCCUACGGGAGGCAGCAGUGGGGAAUUUUGGACAAUGGGGGCAACCCUGAUCCAGCCAUGCCGCGUGAGUGAAGAAGGCCUUCGGGUUGUAAAGCUCUUUCGGCCGGGAAGAAAUCGCACGGGCUAAUACCCUGUGUGGAUGACGGUACCGGAAUAAGAAGCACCGGCUAACUACGAGCCAGCAGCCGCCGUAACAC